GUCGCCAUUUUUCUUUUCUCACCAUAACUUCUCCCCAUGAUCUUGAACAUGGCUUCACAGCACUUCGGAAUAUGCAAGUGAUUCCUUCCAUGGCGUGCAUGGUCUUCUCUCGGAGAUACAGUUUGAGAAAGUAUUUGAAUCCCCUCUAAAAAUCUGUUCUGGGUUGUAAAUUUGUGAAUUUACAGGCAUUGAUUCAAAAUAGGACGUCCCAGUUCGAAGAGUCAGAAGGCGAGCUUUCCGACGAUUUGAAAAGCUUCAUGGGCGUUGGUGACGAUAGCUGGGCGGAAUGGGAAGAAUGGAUGGGUUGGGAGGGCGCUGGCACAUGCGAUUACACGAAUCACAUCAACUCUGCCAUCUAAAACAAAAUUUCUGCUCAUCACUGGUAAACUAAUGUUCUUUCUCCGAGAUAAGCCAGAGUGCGAGGAAGAUAGAGGAGUUUCGAAAUCGCAAUUUAUUCUAUUUCGAUUCCUACCCGUUGCAUACAGAAAUUCCGUUGAGCAAUCUAAUUUAUGGUUGUACAUAUAUUGGUUCUAUAGAAAGAGGCACGCAACUUUGUACAGGUGCCUCAACAUCUUCAAAUCUCAAACAGAGCUUAGUUCGGGUGCAGCACUUGCGCGGUAAUAGUCUGCAGACAAUACUCUUGCAUAAUAAGAUGCCUCCCUCAUCUGUUCCACAGCAACGGAACACGUGCUGCGCUGUCCUCUGUUUGCAGUCUUCUUUCAUUAUUUUCUAGAUUUAGAGAUCCUCUGCAAACGUUCCAGUCUGGUUCUGAGCGUUGUAAAGGAAUGAUAAACACAGAUGAUGUGACUCCCAAAUCUGCAGUUCGGAUAUGUAAUUGUAAUUCCCCCAUACCUUUCGUAUCUCGUUAAUUGUAUGGCGGGAAAGCAAAGUUUGGCGUUGCAACGGUCAUAUCUCCCAAGCAGAGCUGAAUUUCCCCAGAAUUUUUCUUUAAUGCUUCUAUACUCCAAGAACCGUCAUUCGCACCAUUUUCUCCUCAAUU
rnacentral:lncRNA from 1 species